rnacentral:rRNA from 1 species
AGAGUUUGAUCCUGGCUCAGGACGAACGCUGGCGGCGUGCUUAACACAUGCAAGUCGAACGGGGCAUAGAGAUAUGCCUAGUGGCGGACGGGUGAGUAACACGUGAGCAACCUAUCCUAUACAACGGGAUAACACAGAGAAAUUUGUGCUAAUACGGUAUAAGACCACACUCCGGCAUCGGAGAGGGGUAAAAGCUGAGGCGGUAUAGGAGGGGCUCGCGGCCCAUUAGCUAGUUGGAGAGGUAACGGCUCACCAAGGCGACGAUGGGUAGCCGAUCUGAGAGGAUGAACGGCCACAUUGGAACUGAGAAACGGUCCAAACUCCUACGGGAGGCAGCAGUGGGGAAUAUUGGGCAAUGGAGGCAACUCUGACCCAGCAACGCCGCGUGAAUGAAGAAGGUCUUCGGAUUGUAAAGUUCUUUAGCGAGGGACGAAAAGAAUGACGGUACCUCGAGAAUAAGCCACGACUAACUACGUGCCAGCAGUCGCGGUAAUACGUAGGUGGCGAGCGUUGUCCGGAAUGACUGGGCGUAAAGGGAGCGUAGGCGGCACAACAAGUUAGGAGUGAAAUACCGUGGCUUAACCACGGAACUGCUUUUAAAACUGUUGAGCUAGAGUGAUGGAGAGGAAAGCGGAAUUCCUAGUGUAGCGGUGGAAUGCGUAGAUAUUAGGAGGAACACCAGUGGCGAAGGCGAUUUGCUGGGCCAUUACUGACGUUCAGGCACGAAAGCGUGGGGAGCAAAUAGGAUUAGAUACCCUAGUAGUCCACGCCGUAA